AAGCCUCUCUUGCUGGAGGGUUGGGGGUGCAAAAUAUGCUUGGAAUGGACAAAUAUCUUGGUAUGCCAUCUAUGGUCGGAAGGAAUAGGAAGACAACCUUUAAAUAUGUUAAAGACCAGAUUUCGAAGAAGAUCAAUUCGAUGAGUGACAAAUUCCUAUCGAAGGCAGGCUGAGUGCGAAUGAGGGAGCAACAAUCAAACAAUAACUUUGAUCUUUCCCCACCAUGUACUUCUAUUGUACACGAGUGACAUCACUGUUUGAAGAGGGAAAUGUUAGAAGAUUUCCUUUGCUAGUUGUCUACACUGUACACGUUUUAUGUUCCACUUGUUUUCCACUCUGAAAUAAAUGUGAACUAUAUUGAUAUUGGUAA